rnacentral:rRNA from 1 species
UACGGAGGGAGCUAGCGUUGUUCGGAAUUACUGGGCGUAAAGUGUGCGCAGGCGGCCAUGCAAGUCGAGUGUGAAAGCCCCGGGCUUAACUUGGGAAUUGCGCUCGAAACUACGUGGCUGGAGUGUGGCAGAGGAAGGUGGAAUUCCACGUGUAGCGGUGAAAUGCGUAGAGAUGUGGAGGAACACCAAUGGCGAAGGCAGCCUUCUGGGCCAACACUGACGCUCAUGCACGAAAGCGUGGGGAGCAAACAGG